AAUGAACGCUAGCGGCAGGCCUAAUACAUGCAAGUCGAGGGGCAGCGCGGUAGCAAUACUGGCGGCGACCGGCGCACGGGUGCGUAACACGUAUGCAACCUACCUUCAACUGGAGGAUAGCCCGGGGAAACUCGGAUUAAUACUCCAUAACACAGGGAUCCCGCAUGGGAAUAUUGUUAAAGCUACGGCGGUUGAAGAUGGGCAUGCGUUCGAUUAGCUAGUUGGUGUAGGUAACGGCUCACCAAGGCUACGAUCGAUAGGGGGUCUGAGAGGAUGAUCCCCACACUGGUACUGAGAUACGGACCAGACUCCUACGGGAGCAGCAGUAGGGAAUAUUGGACAAUGGGCGAAAGCCUGAUCCAGCAAUGCCGCGUGAGUGAUGAAGGCCUUAGGGUUGUAAAGCUCUUUACCAGGGAUGAUAAUGACAGUACCUGGAGAAUAAAGCUCCGGCUAACUCCGUGCCAGCAGCCGCGUAA
rnacentral:rRNA from 1 species